UACGGAGGGAGCUAGCGUUGUUCGGAAUUACUGGGCGUAAAGCGCACGUAGGCGGCUUUGUAAGUUAGAGGUGAAAGCCCGGGGCUCAACUCCGGAACUGCCUUUAAGACUGCAUCGCUUGAAUCCAGGAGAGGUGAGUGGAAUUCCGAGUGUAGAGGUGAAAUUCGUAGAUAUUCGGAAGAACACCAGUGGCGAAGGCGGCGCACUGGACUGGUAUUGACGCUGAGGUGCGAAAGCGUGGGGAGCAAACAGG
rnacentral:rRNA from 1 species